rnacentral:tRNA from 1 species
GCCGCUAUAGCUCAGUGGCUAGAGCGUUGGUCUCGUAAACCAAAGGUCGCAAGUUCGAAUCUUGCUGGUAUGCG